rnacentral:rRNA from 1 species
AGAGCGAACGCUGGCGGCAGGCCUAACACAUGCAAGUCGAGCGCCCGUAGCAAUACGGGAGCGGCAGACGGGAUAGUAACACGUGGGAACGCGCCCUUCGGUUCGGAAUAACUCAGGGAAACUUGAGCUAAUACCGGAUACGCCCUUACGGGGAAAGAUUUAUUGCCGAAGGAACGGCCCGCGUCCGAUUAGCUAGUUGGUGAGGUAAUGGCUCACCAAGGCGACGAUCGGUAGCUGGUCUGAGAGGAUGACCAGCAUCACUGGGACUGAGACACGGCCCAGACUCCUACGGGAGGCAGCAGUGGGGAAUAUUGGACAAUGGGCGCAAGCCUGAUCCAGCCAUGCCGCGUGGAUGAUGAAGGCCUUAGGGUUGUAAGUCCGUUUUAACGGGGAAGAUAAUGACGGUACCGUAGAAUAGCCCGCUAACUCGUGCCAGCAGCCGC